rnacentral:misc_RNA from 1 species
GAUGAAGAACGUAGCGAAAUGCGAUAAGUAAUGUGAAUUGCAGAAUUCAGUGAAUCAUCGAAUCUUUGAACGCACAUUGCGCCCCUUGGUAUUCCGAGGGGCAUGCCUGUUCGAGCGUCAUUAUAACCCUCAAGCUCAGCUUGGUGUUGGGGCCUGCUGCACUGGCAGCCCUUAAAAUCAGUGGCGGCGCCAUCUGGCUCUAAGCGUAGUAAUUCUUCUCGCUAUGGAGUCCUGGUGGAUGGUUGCCAUCAACCCCCAAUUUUUCUAUGGUUGACCUCGGAUCAGGUAGGGAUACCCGCUGAACUUAAGCAUAUCAAUAAGCGGAGGA